GACGAACCGAGCGAACGUUGUUCGGAAUCACUGGGCUUAAAGGGCGCGUAGGCGGGCUGUCAAGUCUGGGGUGAAAGCCCGCGGCUCAACCGCGGAAGGGCCUCGGAUACUGACGGCCUCGAGGGGGGUAGGGGCACGCGGAACUGUCGGUGGAGCGGUGAAAUGCGUUGAUAUCGACAGGAACUCCGGUGGCGAAGGCGGCGUGCUGGACCCCUUCUGACGCUGAGGCGCGAAAGCCAGGGGAGCGAACGGG
rnacentral:rRNA from 1 species